AUUGCUUCUCGGCCUUUUGGCUAAGAUCAAGUGUAGUAUGAAUCAAACACCAUUACCCUAUGUAAAUGUACGAUUACACAAAUGGUAUGCCAUCACCCCACGUACAAACAGAAACAUGUAUCCCAUUUGUUUACAAUAA
rnacentral:snRNA from 1 species